UCAGGUUUAUUUAAUAAUCUCUAGUUGCUCUCUACUGCUUCCCUAGAGAAUGGGAAUUAACAUGCCCCUCGAGAGGACAGGGUUAACAAAGUAUAAAAGCUGAAAAGGGCACUGAGCCCGUGGCUUCCCUAAGUUUAGGUGGUUCACAUCCAUUCAGUAUCAUCUCUAGUGGCACUUUACAUGCUAAGUGGAGAAUGACAAGGCAUUUGAAAAUAGCCUAGGAGUCAAGAGAUCUUUUCUUGAAAGUUAGUGUACCUGGUGAUUUGCCUAUCCUAUACUUUUUUUUUUUUUCUUUCCCUAAAGACCAAAUAAGCAUGAUACUAGGUAAAGUCAGCUGUAUUGCAUCACUUUGAAUGUCACAUUACUGUCCUUGGUGAGCAGAGCAAACAGUCAGAAUGUAGGGUGGGCACAAAAAAACAAUAAACAAAAAAUGAAUAUAUGUUAGUACUAAGUGCUAAAAAGAAUUAAAGCUGGGAAAGGGGGUAUGGAAAGUCACAGUAGGACCCUGAACUUUUAGAAAGCGUCAAUAGCAAAAGCUUCACUUCUUACUAAAGACAUGAAAACAAUUGCAGUCCAAACUACUUGGGGCUGGGGUGGAUUUUAAUCUGGAGAAAACACAAUAAAAAAUGCAAAGGCGUUCAAGAGGAGGUGUGUCUCUUGCUUUGGCUAUUUCUGCUGUUUUUACCUGUUCCAAUUGAGUCAACAGAUAAGUCUUCAAGCCACUGAAAUUAAAGGAUGUUUUCCUUUUUUAUUUAUGAAACUUAAUGAAGAUUCAGAGAAAACCAUAUUUUCUCUUUUUUAUUUUUUAAAGGCUGCACCAACACUAUGUGGAAAUUCCUGGAUCAGGGAUUGAAUCUGAGCCUCAGCUGUGACCUACUCAGCAGCUGCUGCAACACUAGAUUCUUUAACUCACUGCCCCAGAGAUCUAAGCUGCAACUCCACAGCAUCCUGAGCUACUGCAGUCAGAUUCUUAAUCCACUACACCACAGUGGAUCAGCGGAUUAACAACCUCAAUUCCUGUAAUUUUCGAAUUUCACACUAGACAUAUGUCUUAGUUACUCAGUUCUGAAGGUAUACGACAUGGUUGUGCCUCAACAAUGAAAGCUUUUACAUCAUUCUCAAAACACUUGCAAAUACUAUGAACGAAGAAUUUAUCUAUAAAACAAUUAUUUUCUCUUCAAAAGUAGCAUCAUACUCGUCCAUGUUCAUAACAUUUUAAAGCUUUUCUUGCCCACCUGUUAUACAUCAGGUAAUGAAAUUUAAAAUGUACUGGCGUAUCUGAAAAAAAGUAUUGACUCUAGAAAACUUUUUUAAAUCCCGAAGAUAAAGGACACUUGAGUUAGCUUCUCAGUUAUUUGUGUGAUCCAGAUACUGGCAUCACAUAGCCAAGUUGUUGGAGCAACUUUGCUCCUCACUCUCUUCAGUGAUCUCUCUAAUCAAACCAAGGAAAAGAAAAAGAUUCACUGAAUAAUGGCACAUUUCAUUGAGAAUAAUUUAAUUUCAUUUAUCCUUGACUGGCUUACUCUUCCUUGGCUCAUGACACUAUUUCUCCAUUGCCAAAGCUAGAAAGCACAGAAUGAGUCUUUCUUGCAGCCAUUUCUGUGGUUCUCACUCUCCUGCCUUCUUCCUGUGUUUACGGAGACCCUUGUGAUUACAAUGAUCCCACCUGAGUAACUUGGGAUACGCUCUCUCCAUCUCAAGAUCAGCGGAUUAACAACCUCAAUUCACCUGUAACCUUAAUUCUCCUUUGCCCUGUAAGGUACCAUAGUCACAGGUUCUAGGAUUUAGAAUGUGGAUAUCUUUUGGGGACAAUUCUUCUGACUACCACUGCCACAAUGAUUCAAUUAGUAUUUAAUAAAGUAAAAUAAUAAGGCUGCAUUUUAAUCUGAUAGGUACAUGGGUUUUCUGUGGAAGACAGAAGUCUUUUACUUUUCUUACAGAUUUCUCUCUUAGUCAAUCCACUUGGUGUUACUUAGCUAAUGUUUUCCUUCUUCCUAAGCAGUGUUAUGACCUUCUUGUAGGCACUCCACAAAAGCACAUUUAAUUAUUUAAGUACAUUUCCUUCCUUCAAAGAGACUGCAUACUUUUCAGCAAAAGAGCUGCUAGUUUGCUGGCAUGAGUUAAAUUGCUUGACCAUGACACCUGGGUACUGAGCCCCUGGCUUUGGAUCCCACUUAAUCGACAGGUCAAAUCUUAACAUGUAUAAAUGUAUAAUAAUCACAUUAAAACUUUUUUUAAAAAGAAAUUUUAGAAACUGAUUUAUCUUACUCCAUAAAACCUGUAUUAUUUUCUCUGAAAUGCUAGGAAUUUAUGACUGUUUUUAUUGGUCCUCAGAAUACACCCUCCACAAACAACACUUAAGAAUAAACAACAACUUCAAGACCUAAAGAGAGCAUAAAAUAUUUAAUUAUAUAGGUGUCCUAGAAGUAUAAAAGGAAGUAGCAGGACAUGAAUCUGGAUUUUGCAGUUUCAUUAUUUGUACCACAAAAAAUAUGUUAUAGGAAACUGGGGAUGCUUUGAAUAUGCUCUUGUUUUGUUUUCUUAAACAAAAGUCAUUUUGGUUUAUUUGUCUCAUUCUUGUGCUGACCCAAAGCCUAUGACACUUGAGUGAAAAUAGAGUAGCCUUUAUAGGGUGAAGUCAGAGGACAAGAAUCAAUAGCUGUCUGAAAUGUAAAUCAUCAAAGAGAUUCCAUACCAACGAUAAGAAAGGAGAAGGUGAAGGACUUAGUUAUUUUUAAUCAAGUCUGUUUUAAAUAAGCAGUUAUUAGUGUUGCAACAUGAAAACCUCAUUUUCAAAAAUUUGAGAAGAGAUCAGAUGAUGGCCUGGGUAAAUGCUAUUGAAUUUCUCAACUACUGAAUAAUUUUAAACAGAACAAAAUCCUUUUGCUUAACACAAUUAUGAAGUAUUUCUCCAGAUUUAUUUCAAAUUACUCAACAGAUUUUUCACAUGAGUAUCUCAAAAAAUUCCAUCAGCGGCUUUUGUAAAGCCAACCAAACAAAAUAAAAUGCAUUUCUUUGUAGUGUUCCUGUUUGUCAAAGACAGAAUUUGUAUUAAUAAUUUUUUCUUAAUUUCACUUCAGAGACCUCACAAAGGUAAUGUGUAGAAUAUUUUAUAGAAGAGAAACAUAAAACAUCUUAAGAGGACUUAAGGGUACAGAAUGGGAUAGGUCAGUUGAGGUUAGGGAUGCUUUCUCUGGAUUCUUAAAAAACAUCCAGAACUCUGCUUUUAUUAUUUAUUUAUUUGCUUUUUAGGGCUGCACCCUUGGCAUAUGGAGGUUACCAGGCUAGGGGUCGAAUUGUAGCUACAGCUGCUGACCUAUGUCACAGCCACAGAAACGCAGGAUCUGAGCUGUACCUGUGAUCUAUACCACAGCUCAUGGCAACACUGGAUCCCUGACCCACUGAGUAAGUCCAGGGAUCGAACCCACAUCCUCAUGGAUACUAGUUAGAUUCAUUUCUUCUGCACUGUGAUGGGAACUCCCCAGAACUCUGCUUUUAAAGAUGAGAUUUGAUCUUGAACUGCUGUCCCUUCAGUGAUCCAUUCAGCAUGCAUUUAUGCCCUCUCUAAGGAGGUACUAUGAAAAAUUAAAGAGUUCCCCAUUUUAGAAGUUCAGAGUUCCAUGAGGAAAGAAAGAAAUGUAACCAAAAAUUAGAUAAGAAUCUUGCAAAUAACAGAAUGGAAGAGGGAGCACAGAUACCAGGCAACUCAGAGGAACAAAUGGUAAUACUUUCGGCCUGCAUGACUCAAGGUAAACUUACAACAGAAAUUACUGUGGAAAUUUCUUCCUCCACCCC
rnacentral:lncRNA from 1 species